ACUCGAAAUUAGUAAAGCGGGUUUUCUCUUCUACUAUUCAAAACGGGUAUGAUGGAACUCUCGUUCGUAACAAUUUACACUCCGCAGAAGAAGCCGCCUGCUGAGCUUGAACAUUUGAACAUCAGGGCAAUUACCAACCACCAACCAAAAAGUAACCCCAAACCCAAGCUCAAGCCCGCCGAUAAUAACAGAGCAAGGAGAAUCCUGAAUUACGCCGCAGAGGCAAAAAAAGAUGAAGAAACACAAAGCUCUUUCUUUCUUCGGCGAUCGAAGCAAGUGGAAGGAACCCGCGGUGAUCGGCUUUAACCCACUGAUGCCCCAUGUGGCAACCUUGAAAAAUUAGGGAGUUUUAAAUAUUCAAAUUAAUACCAAAAUUCUUGUAUAUUAAUAUAAUAUUUGUACGGUAAUUUGUCCUGUAUCUGAAUUCACUUACAUGUUUUAUAAAACUAAAUCAAAAGUUGUAACAAAAA